GAGUUUGAUCAUGGCUCAGAACGAACGCUGGCGGCAUGCCUAACACAUGCAAGUCGAACGGGAUCCGGACUUCGGUCCGGUGAGAGUGGCGGACGGGUGAGUAACGCGUGGGAACCUGCCCAAUGGUCUGGGAUAACCGCGGGAAACUGCGGCUAAUACCGGAUAAGCCCGAGAGGGGAAAGAUUUAUCGCCGAUGGAGGGGCCCGCGUCCGAUUAGGUAGUUGGUGAGGUAACGGCUCACCAAGCCGACGAUCGGUAGCUGGUCUGAGAGGAUGAUCAGCCACACUGGGACUGAGAUACGGCCCAGACUCCUACGGGAGGCAGCAGUGGGGAAUAUUGGACAAUGGGGGCAACCCUGAUCCAGCAAUGCCGCGUGAGUGAUGAAGGCCUUAGGGUUGUAAAGCUCUUUUUGGCGGGGACGAUGAUGACGGUACCCGCAGAAUAAGCCCCGGCUAACUUCGUGCCAGCAGCCGCUGU
rnacentral:rRNA from 1 species